CGACACACACAUAAACCUAAUUUUUCAGAAAAUUUUGGGUCAAAUCUAACAGCUUCACUUAGACCAACCCAGGUUGGGUUAUGAAUGAUUCACGUUUAUUCUGAGUAAACAAACUGAUGGUGAGUAAUGUACGCCAUCCGUUAGAAAGGCCGAAAAAAAGAAACACAGAAAAAUAUUUAUAUAACUUGCAUUAGAUAGUUUCUCAUUAGCAAUAAGCAGCAUAAAAGUACGGAAAUUUAGAAACGUAAACACUUGACAACUGUCAUAUUUUGUGAAAAUGAUGAGUUUUGAUGGUGUCGUGCGGGAAGUGAUCUCAUCGGUUGACAACGUUGCCUUUCUAGCCAGCAAAUUGAGCUGUUAAUUUCUUUCGCUGAUUGACACUCGAUUUCACGUUCUUACUUCUGCGAGGCGCAGGUGCGAUUUUCAUACACUUUCGACUGUAUUUAUUAUGUGUUUUCAGAAUGAAUCAACCGCACAACAAAUCAACCUUUUUUUUAAAGUUUUACCCCAUCUUUGGUCUGAGAAGUUGACUCAAGGAGGCCGGUUGUCGCUUGUCGCGAACACUUUGUGGUAUUCAUUCAUUCACUUACCUACAUCAUGUUUGAAGGAAAGAAAAUACCUAAAGGAAUCUAAUCUAUGCGACAGCACUUAGUCCAGAGAAGCUCAACGAAGAUGUAAACAAAAUGGAACUUAGUGUUUUACCUCGUGACUUUUGAAGUAGAGUGGUGUUAUUAUAGUUAACCCAUCGUUUUCAAGACUUCCAGUGCGAAUGACUGUCUCUCACAUGAAGCCAACUUCCUGUUAUGGGAAAUUGUUGUCAAAAAUUGCUGGCGCUAAAGAUAGGAAACUUUAGAACAACUGAUUAUAGGUUUGUAUCUUGACAUUUUUCUUCUGUUCCUCUUUAAGACAUUGGUAAUUGCAGCCUCUCUUGGAAAAAAUAAUCUUUGAGCGUAAGCGCUGUACCUAUGAGUAACCAGAAUUUUUCAUAUCCCCAGAUCACUUAUUUGACCUAUGGAUUUAAAAUCAUAUGACUGUUUGAAAUAGGAGUGGAAAACAUGUUAAGGAGAUCUGUGGAGUUACAAGAUCAUGACAUGACGUGUGAACGAAGAGGCCUUUUGAUUAUAAUUUUUGAUACUCACCCGUCCGUGCAUGUUCAGCAUCUAAUAGUUACCUACACCUUAGAAUUAAAAGGCAGAGGCACAUAUUGCUGACUGUCAGCAAAAUGUUUUCAUAUUAGUAGAUGAGAUAAAAACAAGCCUUAAAAACUGGAUUCUGUUAUAUUUCGCUUAUUUAUCUUAGUUUCAUCAUUUCUUACACAAGUUUUAUCUUAUAACUUAUACAUAAAAUGUAUGUUAAUGCUUGUUUUAGGAACAUUUCAAUACUUUUAAUUGGCCUGGAUAAUGCUGGAAAAACUUCCAUUGUAAACGGAAUCUCUGGCAGUUUGUAUAAAUUUAUCUUCAUAUUUGCAUGGCUGCGCAUCACCUUAUAGGUAUUGUGAACCUCUUGAAACGAUCGUUUGAAGAGGUUCACAGUGCUAUUAGGGUUGGUAGGCUCUCAUUCAAAUAAGAGCCUACCAACCCUAAUAGCAGAAAGAUGCUUAAAAGAUUUGUCUUAAAAUAAUUCUAAAAAAAUAAAAUGUUUUAUAGAGACGUUUCCUAACGUACCAAAGUAAGACAAAGAAAAAAACAACUUCAAACGUUUAAGAAGUCAAGGUGGCAUUUAUGCCAUCUUGGAAUGUCCAGAAGUCAUACUUUAAUGACUUAAAAGUGAUGUUGAAAGUCAUUAAUAGACCAAAGUUUUGAAGUCAUUUUGUAAAUCACUUUAAAAAUAUUAUUAAAUUCUGAAAUAUUUUUAAAACUUACCAUAGUAGCAUUAUAGAUAAUGGCUUUAUUAUUGCUUAAAAUAUACUGAUUUGCAAG
rnacentral:lncRNA from 1 species